GGCGCUGGCCUGCCUGGUUAAAGCGCCUGUCUUCUCAACAGGAGAUCACGAGUUCGAAUCUCGUCGGUGCCU